UCAGAUCUCUAGCUAUGAAAUAUUAAUACAAACUCAGUGGUUUGCAAAACCAGUAACAAAAAGAAAUGGUUGGAUGCCAACAGUGGAUUUUAUCUCAGUAGAUAAGUAACAGCAAACUUAAAGCAGGCAGAAAAGAAAACAGAGAUAGAGAACUUAAGAAUGUUAUAGUUGCAAGUCUACCUUUGGGGUCUGAAUUUUCCUUGAUGUAAUUGUGCACAAAAAGACCAUAUAUGUCCAUUUUACACAAACACUUGGAAGAAGAGGCUCCAUAAAACCAAUGGAGAGCCUGAAAGGGGGUCAUUCUCUCUUUGUUUUUCCUCAUCCUUAGGUUGUCUCCCAGUUUUUUUGUUUGUUUGUUUUAAGGGAGGAACUGAGCUGUGGCCUAGGGUUUAGUGUGCAGGGGUAAAAGUGUGCUGGUGCAGGCAGGACUCCACAGUGUGUCAUCACUAAGUUGUUUCUGCCCUCUUAAGUGUCUUAGUUUCUCUCUCUGGAGGUCUGGCACCUCUGAGAGGGCUCAGUGUGAAGAGUGAUCACUCCUAUAUGUACUUCUUAAAUGAGCCUUUUUAAGCUUACUUUGUUGGGGGUUUCCUGUAGGGCACCUAUACAUCCCAUAGGAUCAACCCCACAGACUCUCCCACUGGGCCCCUGGUCACCCAGGGUUGCCCUUCAGCUGGGAGGAGCAAAAUGUGCUUUGUCUUCGGAGCUGAGGAAACUCAUCAGUCUUUCAUCUAUCUAUGAAAAUGACAGUUCAGUUCCUUAUGCAAAUGCACACUCUGAUUGAGAUUUAUGUUGGGAGAAAAGGCACUGGAGAAAAGUUUAAAAUGUACCUCUGAACUAGAAUUAGGAUCCUAAACAAUAACUUCCAAGGAGAAAAAACCCAGGUAAGGCAAUUUCCUGUGAACUGUCCUCACCCACCCCUAAUUUUGUAGCUCUCAUCUGCCAUUACACACGCCAAGGUCAAAUCUUCUCAUAGCAUAAGGUAAUCUCUGGUUCCGCCAAAGCCCAAAAUGUCAGGUCAUGCAAUACAGGAGAGCAGAGCUUUAGACCUAAGAAGAAUCUGCCCAUGAUUGUUGAAACUUCACAAAGGAAACAGAAUACUCCAAAAAGGGGUGAGUGACAUCUUUGUUAUGAGUUUUUCAAGGGUUUCAAGUCAUUAAAAGCCUUCUCCAGAUUUUUCUUGGUACUAAAGGUGGUAAAGAGGGAAGGAGGGAGAGAGUGGAGGAAAAGUAAGCAAAAGAAUAAUUGUGUUUCUUAAGACAGGAACCAAACACAGAAACCAAGCACAUGUUUUAUUUUGUUUUGUUUCCUCUUUUGCAGGUGCAAUGAAUUUUAGCCAACUCAGAGAGGCCUUAUUACCCAUAAUUUGAAAUUCUCAUUUGGAUUCUAGGCCUCAUUUCUAGAAAAAGCAUGCUUGGAUCCCUAAGGUCUAUCUCCAGUACAAUACUAUUUGAUACCAUGGUAAAACACGCAGAUACAAUGCUGAAUGGACAAGAAGAAAUUGGAAGAAUUGGUGGUGUGGAAACUGAGUUAUUGAAUGGAGGAUACACUUGAUGAGGGUGAGUGAAUUAGAUCUCAGUUUAAUAUCCAAUGGAAACCAAAAGCAAAAUGCUAAGAGUGGAAUAUGUUUAUGCAAGUUAAGCAAAAUAUUAGAUAGUUUUAGUUUCCCGUGUGUUUGUCCCUUCAUGUAGUUUUUUUCAACCAUGAUGGGCGGGAGAGGAGCGCCUAGGGCAAAGCUACUUAGCUUUUCUCGCACAAUACUGCCAUCGUGCGGAAAUAGUUUCAAUAGUAUCCAAAACCCGUGAGCAUUUUCUCCAUAAGCCCCAGCAGUUGCAAAAGGAAAAAGCCAGUGGAGGCUGAACGGGCCUGCGACUUAAGUUGGUUUUCCUACCGUUUUCUCUGAGGCCUGGCAGAAGCAAUGCACAAAUGUAGUCUUAGUGAAGUAUCUGGUGAGUGAGGGACCAGGACUGAGCCAGCUGCUUCUAGGAAGCAAGAAUGUAACAAAAAGCCUAAGCAAUCAUCUAAGCCCACAAGCCAGCCUAAGUCUUAUAAAGUCAUACAGAAAAGGGACUUUAUAAGUUCAUGGGAAAGUCUUUUCUCAUAGGAGGAUGUUGAUGGUAAUCUCAUUUCUCUUAAAGAGGGUAGAUAGGUGCCUCUUUUCCGCUGGACAUUCCCUGAGAAGGAUGGCAUUGUUUAGUCCUGGGCAAACCAAUAUUUACCUCAUCCCAGCGAGUGUUCUGUAUACCAGCCUCAAAGCUAGUUCUUCAUGAAGAUAUCCAUCCUUAGGUGUGGAGACCUCCAGAUAGUCCAUGACUCAUAAUUGAAGAAUCAACAAGGGUGACUAAAAUUGUAUGGGUGAUUUUUUUCCCCAUGGCAUUCUUCUUCAGUGUUUAUUAUCUCAGUAUCUGAAUCUUUUAAAAAAGGAUGUAAUGUGAGUCUGCUACUGUAGUGUGACCUUCCAGUGCUCCAAGAGCUUCUUCAGGUAGGACUUUUCCUGGCCUCUGAGGAUUCAGGAAGGCAUUCCAGGAUGGGAUCAUCUAGUUGCAGUAUAACAAGGCUCAGGGUGCCUACUGAUUCUACAUUACGUCCUACACUGAUAUUUGUUUGGGAGUUACUCCUGUUCCUGGAUCCAAGCCGGGCCUGGCUGCAUUUUCUAGAGGCCUAGUAUGGAAAAGCAGACAAACUAGAAAAGAAUGGAAUUUAUUACCAUAACUGGAUACAGGAAGAAAGCUGGAGAUAAUUCCACCAGAUCAACUCAAAGUCUUUAGAAAAUAACUUACCUCUUCCAAGCAACUGCAAUCAGAAAAUCUUGGACUCCUCCUAUGACCUGUAAGCACCUACUUUCCCCUGCUUUAAGUUUUCCUAGCCUUCUGGAUCAAACCAAUGUAUAGCUCACAUGUGUUGAGUGAUGUGUUAUGUCUCUCUAAAACGUAUAAAAGCAAGGUGUAACUCAAUCACCUUGGGCACCUGUUCUCAGGACCUCUUGAGACUAUGUCUUGGACCAUGGCCGCUCAUAUUUGGCUUAGAAUAAAUCUCUUUACAUAUGUUACAGUUUGGCUUUUUUCAUCAACAU